rnacentral:tRNA from 1 species
GGUUUGCGGGUUUUCAGCCCUUGAAUGGGGUUCAAGAGGCCGCAGGUUCGACUCCUGUCACUCGGACCA